UAGAGCAGUACGACGACACCUUUUGACAGCCCAGAGCCGCCAGAGGAGCUACGCCGAUACCCGGAGAUGAGAUUUAGAGUUUCAGGUUGGAGAUCAUGUUUUUCUUAAAGUCUCGCCGUCCAGAUGCAUACGCAGAUUUGGAGUGCAUAGAAAGCUCAGUCCAUAUUUUGUAGGCCCUUUUGAGGUAUUAGAGCGAGUUGGACCAGUUGCCUACAGGAUUGCUUUACCCCCACAACUGGCCAGCAAUCAUGAUGUUUUCCACGUCUCGGCUUUGAGAAAGUAUGUGUUCGACCUCUCCCACGUGAUUGACUUCACUUCGCUAGAGCUUGGCAAAGAUCUACGGUACGAGGAGAGACCGGUGCGUAUUCUUGCUCACGAGACGAAAGAAUUGUGAAACCGGGUCAUCCCGUAUGUAAAAGUGCAGUGGAGUAAUCACGAUGAGCGGGAGGCGACUUGGGAGCCGGAGAUGGUGAUGAGGGAGUCUUACCCCUACUUGUUCGAUGCCCUGGAUUGAGGUAUGUGUUAAGUUUCGAUGACGAAACUUUUUGUAGUGGGGGAGGAUGUAAUAUACUAAACCUUAGCAAAUUAGCAAGGUUACAGUAUAAGUUAUGUUUGAUUGAGUUGGAGACGUUUUGCGCAAAAUAAACGUAAAAAUGUACUUUGAAACUCAAGAUUUAUAUUGUAGAGGACUAAAGUUGAAUGAUGGAGUAGGUGAGGGGCUUUUGGACAAUUGCUGCCUUUCAACCUUAUCCCCACCGCCUUAAUUAGGAUAGGGAGGCUGUCAGAUUGUACUUUUUUACAGAUAGUGGGUGAUAGACCGGGAUAAUAUAGAGCCUUCUUCUUCGGCUGCUGCUGCUGCUGAUUCUGACCGUAGAAAGGGAGUCGCGAGUUAGAUCCCUUCCAAGUUGCUGCUGAGCUAGAAUAUACCAGCUACAGGUAGUGGUAGUUUUUGAGUUCAUAUACAUACUUAUGUUGUAUCUCGCUAGAGCGAGCGUUUUGUACACCUGGAUUUGAUGUAUGUAUAGUGAACUUCUGUUUUUAUA